UUUGUAAAUGGAUUCUCCUCCUUGUCCUCCUGCUAGGGAUCCCGAGCCCAGGGCAACACUAAUCUGCUUCUGCUCCAGCAGACAGAAGAGGCUGACUGGAAGCAUCCUCCCAGCUCUAAUCCUUGGGACCCCCCAAACAGGCAUCUGUGCUUUCUCCCUGGAAGUGAAAUGGUCAAAACACCUGUCAGAGAGUCAAGAGAGCUGUGCUCAGAUCUGACUCCACCUUGACUUUG
rnacentral:lncRNA from 1 species